rnacentral:rRNA from 1 species
UGGCGACCGGUGCACGGGUGAGUAACGCGUAUCCAACCUGCCCUUUACUAUGGGACAGCCCGUCGAAAGGCGGAUUAAUACCGUAUGUUGUCAUGUUGAUGCAUAUUUUCAUGACCAAAGGCUUCGGCCGGUAAAGGAUGGGGAUGCGUCUGAUUAGCUUGCCGGCGGGGUAACGGCCCACCGGGGCGACGAUCAGUAGGGGUUCUGAGAGGAAGGUCCCCCACAUUGGAACUGAGACACGGUCCAAACUCCUACGGAAGGCAGCAG